rnacentral:lncRNA from 1 species
CAUAACCUCACAUAUAAAGCAUGCUGAGGUGGCGUCAGGUCAUUUCAGGCUCUUCUGUGUCGAGCGGAGGAGUAGCUCUGUGUCAAGCUUAGGGGACUGGAAGAGGCCGCAACCUUCCGCCUGCUGGAGGGUGGAGGAUGGAUGGAGCCUGGAGCCUAGGUCACUACCUUGCUGUGGUUGGUGGUGGCGAUAGAGCAGUAGGAGAGCGGUCAGCAGCAGGAGGACUAGAAGGAAGAGGUACUGCCACAUGCUGGAGGCUGGAACCUGUGCCACCAUGGCUCGCCUCGCUGUGGUUGGUGGUAACGUCGGAGACUGCAGCUCAGCCACGGUGGUAGACAUGUGAUGGGGUAGCUGCUCCAAGCCAGGCUGAAGGAGGAGAAGGAGUUGCCGCCUGUGGUACGGUCGAGCAGAUGACGUGGCUCUGCAGCUUGCCUCAUGCAGUUGGUGUUGGAGAUGGAGACCACAGCUCGACUGGAGCGGUGGUUUCCUAGAAACAUGAUUGUUUAUUGGCGUUGAUCUCAGUCUGGUGAGGACUUCUUUACUGAUAAUGUCAAGUUCAGGUUACCCUCCCAACCAAGGAGCAUUCAGCACAGAACAAAGUCGUUAUCCUCCUCACUCUGUAAAGUAUACGUUUCCCAGCACCCGCCACCAGCAGGAUCCAACAUUUGGAGGCAAACAUGAAGCUCCAUCCUCUCCAAUUUCGAGGCAACCGUGUGGAGAUGAUCAAAAUGCUUCACCUUCAAAACUUUCAAAGGAAGAGUUAAUACAGAGUAUGGAUCGUAUAAAUCGAGAAAUUGCAAAAGUAGAACAGCAGAUCCUUAAACUGAAGAAGAAACAAGUAAAAGUCUUUGCUUAUAAUAUUCUAAGAAUGUGUGUUUUUCUCCCUACAGAAGAUAUUUUUGAGUUUUCCAUAUUAUGAAACUGUACAUAAAAGGAAUCAUGCCUUAUAUAUUCUGGCUUGCUGUUUUUUGCUGCUAUUGUGGUUUUCUUUCAUUCAUUCAUUUUCCUUGCUGCACUGUCUGAUCAUAUGAUUGUAGAGAGUGAAAUUUGUCCAUUCUAUUUUUGAUUUUUUUUUCUAUUCCAUACACUGGUGCUGGUUUUUGGUUCACAUGUAGAGAUUUUCUAGGGCAUGUGCCCAGGAAUGGCAGUGCUUGGCCCAAGAUUAUGCACAGUGAACUAUUUAAUAGAUGACACCAAAUUUGCUAAGAAGUAACACCAUUUUACAUUCCCACUGGCAACUUACGUGGGUACUGGUUUGUGCACAUUCUUGCCUUUACUUGAUAUCAUUUUUUCAUUUGGAUAUGAAAUAGUCUUCUCUGUGGUUUGGAAGGAGGCUGAGCUUAUUUUCAUUUGUUUAUGGGUUAUUUGGGUUCCUUAUGUGCAUUGUUCAUGUCUUUUGUCUAUAGUCUCCUAUUUUGUCAUUGAAAUUUUUAGGAUUCCCUGAAGUCCCUUGUCAGGUAUGUGUAUAGAAGAUUUGCCUAGUUUGUGGCCUGUCACUUCACUUUUAGCCCAGUAUCCACUCUAAGUGUACACUAAGUGCAUUUUUUUUUCCACAUUUCGAGUCUCACUCUGUCACCCAGGCUGGAGUGCAGUGGUGCGAUCUUGGCUC